ACUAAUUUGGCAGAAUUUAAGUGUAAUAAAUUUAGGAUUUAUAUAUAUUGUUAAUAACAUUAAUUAGUA
rnacentral:tRNA from 1 species